GGGCCGCUUAUACUGGCAGUCGAGCGAGCUUGCCUAGAUGAUUUUAGUGCUUGCACUAAAUGAAACUAGAUACAAGCGAGCGGCGGACGGGUGAGUAACACGUGGGUAACCUGCCCAAGAGACUGGGAUAACACCUGGAAACAGAUGCUAAUACCGGAUAACAACACUAGACGCAUGUCUAGAGUUUGAAAGAUGGUUCUGCUAUCACUCUUGGAUGGACCUGCGGUGCAUUAGCUAGUUGGUAAGGUAACGGCUUACCAAGGCAAUGAUGCAUAGCCGCGUUGAGAGACUGAUCGGCCACAUUGGGACUGAGACACGGCCCAAACUCCUACGGGAGGCAGCAGUAGGGAAUCUUCCACAAUGGACGAAAGUCUGAUGGAGCAACGCCGCGUGAGUGAAGAAGGGUUUCGGCUCGUAAAGCUCUGUUGGUAGUGAAGAAAGAUAGAGGUAGUAACUGGCCUUUAUUUGACGGUAAUUACUUAGAAAGUCACGGCUAACUACGUGCCAGCAGCCGCGGUAAUACGUAGGUGGCAAGCGUUGUCCGGAUUUAUUGGGCGUAAAGCGAGUGCAGGCGGUUCAAUAAGUCUGAUGUGAAAGCCUUCGGCUCAACCGGAGAAUUGCAUCAGAAACUGCUGAACUUGAGUGCAGAAGAGGAGAGUGGAACUCCAUGUGUAGCGGUGGAAUGCGUAGAUAUAUGGAAGAACACCAGUGGCGAAGGCGGCUCUCUGGUCUGCAACUGACGCUGAGGCUCGAAAGCAUGGGUAGCGAACAGGAUUAGAUACCCUGGUAGUCCAUGCCGU
rnacentral:rRNA from 1 species